AUGACUAUGUCAAUCAUCCCCAUCGGUUUUCCUGAGAGUGCAGUGCAGUCCUCAUCUUCUGAGCUCUCAGAUGAGCUCAGCACUGCCCUCGCUGCAGGACGGUGGUGGGCAAUAAUGGAGGUCUCCUCUCCUAUAUCUGAGGAGCCUGAAUAUGGAGACCUCACCUCACUCAGGUUCCCACACUCAGGGUUCUCAGAAUCAACACUGAAUACCAAGGAACCUUGGAGGCAGAAGAAGACAAAGAGUACACCCAUGCCUCCCAGGUCCCUAAAGGGAGCACCUGUGCCUGCCUUUGCUGAGAAGAGGGACCACACCUCAUCACUGGUCUUCAACAAUGCAUCGGAGAAGGCUGAUUCUCAGCACUCAGGCUUCUCAGAUGCAAAGCUCAAGACCACGGAGCAACAGAGGAAGUGGAGGCAGAAGAAGCCACAGGGACCACCUGUGCUUGCUGGGUCUGAGAAGGCUGAGUAUGGGAAUUCAAUGAAGACCACUAAGCAGGUGAGGCAAGAGUGGAGACAGAAGAAGCCUCAGGGACCACCUGUGCCUGGUGACUCCCCCCAGGGACAUCCUGUGCCCACUCGGUCCCAACAACGUGGAAAAAUAAGGAUCCCUGAGCAUCUGAGGCAGCACCUGCUACAGGCCGCCAAUGACCUGGGAGCAACUGUGCCUGCUAGGUCCCCACAGGGACCACCAGUUCCUACAAAGUCUCUACAGAGAGAACCUGUGCCUUCCUCAAAGGUGCAAAACUUAAAUACCCCUCAGCUACUAAGGCAGGAGCUACAGCAAAAGAAGCCUCAAGCCUCUUCUCACAAGGGAGCGCCUGUACCCAACAAGACCCCAGAGAGGCAAAGGCUAAAAAUCCCUGAGCCGCUGAGGCAGGAGCUGCUGCAGUUGUCUUACCGAGCCUCAUCAGUGAAGGGAGAACUUGUGCCCCAAAAGACCCAGGAAAAGCAGAGGCUCAAGAUGCCUGAACCGUUAAAACAGGAGCUGCUGCAGGUGUCAUCUAGAGCCUCUACUGAAAAGGGAGCACCUGUGCCUCAAAAGAUCCAGGAGAGGCAGAGGCUCAAGAUACCUGAGCGGCUGAGGCAGGAGCUGCUGCAGCUAUCACGCCGAGCCUCAUCUGUGAAGGGUGAACUUGUGCCCCAAAAACCCAGGAGAGGCAGAGGCUCAAGACACCUGAGCUGUUAA
rnacentral:lncRNA from 1 species